rnacentral:rRNA from 1 species
AACGAGCGCUGGCGGCAUGCCUAACACAUGCAAGUCGAACGAGACCUUCGGGUCUAGUGGCGCACGGGUGCGUAACGCGUGGGAACCUGCCCUUAGGUUCGGAAUAACUCCCCGAAAGGGGUGCUAAUACCGGAUAAUGUCUUCGGACCAAAGAUUUAUCGCCUUUGGAUGGGCCCGCGUUGGAUUAGCUAGUUGGUAGGGUAAAAGCCUACCAAGGCGACGAUCCAUAGCUGGUCUGAGAGGAUGAUCAGCCACACUGGGACUGAGACACGGCCCAGACUCCUACGGGAGGCAGCAGUGGGGAAUAUUGGACAAUGGGCGAAAGCCCGAUCCAGCAAUGCCGCGUGAGUGAUGAAGGCCUUAGGGUUGUAAAGCUCUUUUACCCGGGAUGAUAAUGACAGUACCGGGAGAAUAAGCUCCGGCUAACUCCGUG